AAUCCGUCCUACUAUUCAGGGGAAUAACGUCAGUGGGAAACAGCUCAGGUGUGGUUACUUCCUGCUCUGACCUGGGGAACUCUGUGCCCUUUCAACCAGUCAUUAAGCUUCUACUCAAUAAGCAAAAAUUAUAUUAUUUAUUUUACAUUGAAGGAGUUAUCCUGCUCUUCUCUGAAAAUUGUAGCAUUGUAGCACCUGGUGUCCAUCUACUCUUCAAUGAUAAGGACAAAAGUGGUGGAAAAAAUCCAUGUUAAGAGUUGGGAUCCAACAAUAAUCUGCCAGCAGAUGUGGAAGCAGACCAAAUACCUUGUGGAUGCCUUCCCAGUGACAUCCCCUGCACCAAGACCUUCAAUCAACUUCAGAGUUUUUCCUCUCACCACCCAUCCCUCCCUCCCCAAAUGUCCCACCAUGGAUACACUGCCUUAAGCGAUUUGGCUGACAGCUCUGCUCUUUCUCCCUCACCAUAAACUUGUCACAACCCCUGCCUCUGCUCUCUUUAGCCUGAGGUGGAGCAGGGUGGUUCUCUCUAUUCCAGUUGCUUUACUGUUUCCAGUUUAUUACUCUUUAGCCCUCUCUAACCAGUUUCACAGUAUAUAAGUCUCUCUUUUAAUAAAUAGCCAUACAUGGUCACCAUUAUGGAGCAACUGUUUACUUAUCUGUUCUUUGCCAAACUCCACCACAACCAUCUAACAUGUUACACUCCUACAAAAAAAUGUGUGGGAGGUUGGAAAACGUUUCACACUGAAGUGGAGGUUCAGUCUUCAGCAGUAAAAUAACCCUAAACUACGGCUAGAGCAACAAUAAAACACUUUAAAUCAUCAA